UCUAUUAAGCCUAAUUAGUGCAUGAUUUGACAAUGUGGUGCUACAGUAACCAUUCACUAAUGAUGGAUUAAUUAGGCUCAAUAGAUUCGUCUCGCGAUUUAGCCUAGGGGUUCUACAAUUAGUUUUGUAAUUAGCUUAUGUUUAGUCCUCUUAAUUAGUAUCCGAACAUCCGAUGUGACAGGGCUAAAGUUUAGCCUCCUCCUUCCAAACAGC
rnacentral:lncRNA from 1 species